rnacentral:rRNA from 1 species
AUUGAACGCUGGCGGAAUGCUUUACACAUGCAAGUCGAACGGCAGCACGGGGGCAACCCUGGUGGCGAGUGGCGAACGGGUGAGUAAUACAUCGGAACGUGCCCAGUCGUGGGGGAUAACUACGCGAAAGCGUAGCUAAUACCGCAUACGAUCUAUGGAUGAAAGCGGGGGAUCGCAAGACCUCGCGCGAUUGGAGCGGCCGAUGGCAGAUUAGGUAGUUGGUGGGGUAAAGGCUCACCAAGCCGACGAUCUGUAGCUGGUCUGAGAGGACGACCAGCCACACUGGGACUGAGACACGGCCCAGACUCCUACGGGAGGCAGCAGUGGGGAAUUUUGGACAAUGGGCGCAAGCCUGAUCCAGCCAUUCCGCGUGCAGGAUGAAGGCCCUCGGGUUGUAAACUGCUUUUGUACGGAACGAAACGGCGCGGGUUAAUACCCUGUGCUAAUGACGGUACCGUAAGAAUAAGCACCGGCUAACUACGUGCCAGCAGCCGCCGUAAGAC